UUAAGCUUCAAGAUGAAGUUCUCGUCUCAGAUAGGGAUAGAAUAAAAAACGACUCAGAGCAAUGUUAAAAUGCUUCAGAGACAUUUGCAAGCACAUACCUUUCCAUCUAUUGAAAGGUUGAGACAGAAGGAGCAGAGUCUUCAAAGACGCAUGUUGAGGGUUAUGAGGAUAAUAGAGAGCUUAGAAGGGAAGGGUUUCCGGUUACCCUUGACGAAAGGAAAGACCG